rnacentral:rRNA from 1 species
GACAGAGGCCUCAAGCGUUAGGCGGAAUCACUGGGCUUAAAGCGUGUGUAGGCGGGUCGUUAAGUACCUUGUGAAAUCCCACGGCUCACCCGUGGAACUGCUGGGUAUACUGGCGAUCUUGGGCCAACUAGGGGCAACUGGAACAAGCGGUGGAGCGGUGAAAUGCGUAGAUAUCGCUUGGAACGCCAAAGGUGAAAACAGGUUGC